rnacentral:rRNA from 1 species
GAUGAACGCUGGCGGCGUGCUUAACACAUGCAAGUCGAACGGAGUGCUCAUGACGGAGGAUUCGUCCAACGGAUUGAGUUACUUAGUGGCGGACGGGUGAGUAACGCGUGAGGAACCUGCCUUGGAGUGGGGAAUAACAGCCCGAAAGGGUUGCUAAUACCGCAUAAUGCAGUUGGGUCGCAUGGCUCUGACUGCCAAAGAUUUUAUCGCUCUGAGAUGGCCUCGCGUCUGAUUAGCUGGUUGGUGGGGUAACGGCCUACCAAGGCGACGAUCAGUAGCCGGACUGAGAGGUUGACCGGCCACAUUGGGACUGAGACACGGCCCAG